rnacentral:rRNA from 1 species
UCAAGCUAAUAAGGGCUAACGGUGGAUACCUAGGCACACGGAAGCGAAGAAGGACGUAGUUACCGACGAAACGCUUCGGGGAGCGGGAAGCAAGCAUUGAUCCGAAGAUAUCCGAAUGGGGCAACCCUAAACACGACCACCUGAAUACAUAGGGUGGAGCGAGCAAACCUGGUGAACUGAAACAUCUUAGUAGCCAGAGGAAAAGAAAGCAACAGCGAUUCCCCCAGUAGCGGCGAGCGAAAAGGGAACAGCCUAAACCAAGUUCUGCGGAACUUGGGGUCGUGGGACAGUGACAAAAGACUGGGAAAUUUAGACGAAGCGGCUGAAAACCGCACCAGAGAAGGUGAAAGUCCUGUAGUCGAAAAAGGCACCAGCUUAACUGCAUCCCGAGUAGCAUGGGGCACGUGAAAUCCCGUGUGAAUCUGCCUCGACCACGAGGUAAGGCUAAAUAUUCCCGUGUGACCGAUAGAGAAACAGUACCGCGAGGGAAAGGUGAAAAGAACCCCGGAAGGGGAGUGAAAUAGAACAUGAAACCGUUAGCCUACAAGCAAUGGGAGGACGAUUGAACGUCUGACCGUGUGCCUGUUGAAGAAUGAGCCGGCGACUUACAGGUUAUGGCAGGUGAAGGGGGAAGACCCCACAGCCCCAGCGAAAGCGAGUCUGAAGAGGGCGAAGCGUCAUAAUUUGUAGACCCGAACCCGGGUGAUCUAACCAUGGCCAGGAUGAAGCUUGGGUAAAACCAAGUGGAGGUCCGAACCGACUAAUGUUGAAAAAUUAGCGGAUGAGCUGUGGUUAGGGGUGAAAUGCCAAUCGAACUCGGAGCUAGCUGGUUCUCCCCGAAAUGUGUUGAGGCGCAGCGGUAGUGGAAGUUUAGUCGGGGUAAAGCACUGUUUCGCCGCGGGCUGGGAGACCGGUACCAAGGCGAGGCAAACUCUGAAUACGGCUAAAAAAACUACCAGUGAGACGGUGGGGGAUAAGCUUCAUCGUCAAGAGGGAAACAGCCCAGACCACCAGCUAAGGUCCCCAAAUGAUAACUAAGUGAGAAAGGAGGUGGGAGUGCAUGGACAACCAGGAGGUUUGCCUAGAAGCAGCAAUCCUUAAAAGAGUGCGUAAUAGCUCACUGGUCAAGCGCUCCUGCGCCGAAAAUGAACGGGGCUAAGUUAUCUACCGAAGCUGUGGACUACAUUGUAGUGGUAGGGGAGCGUUCUAUAGGGGGUGAAGCAGUAGCGGCAAGCAGCUGUGGACUCUAUAGAAGUGAGAAUGUCGGCUUAAGUAGCGAAAAUGUGGGUGAGAAUCCCACACCCCGAAACCCCAAGGUUUCCUCCGCAAGGCUCGUCCGCGGAGGGUCAGUCAGGACCUAAGGCGAGGCUGAAAAGCGUAGUCGAUGGACAACGGGUUAACAUUCCCGUACCGAUUAAUGAUUGUGCCGGAGAACGGAGAAGGUCAACGUCAGCUGGAUGUUGGUUACCAGUGCAAGCAGUCGAGGCGAUGAGAGGUGGUGAAAACACCUGGAGCUAAGACGCGAGUCCCACCUCCCACGGGAGGGAAGUGGCGCUGAUCAAGCUUCCUAGAAAAGCCCGAACCACGUUAAUCAUUAAUUGCCUGUACCCGAAACCGACACAGGUGGGGAAGUAGAGAAUACUAAGGGGCGCGAGAUAACUCUCUCUAAGGAACUCGGCAAAAUGACCCCGUAACUUCGGGAGAAGGGGUACCCUCGCAAGAGGGUCGCAGUGAAUAGGCCCAGGCGACUGUUUACCAAAAACACAGGUCUCCGCCAAGUCGUAAGACGCAGUAUGGAGGCUGACGCCUGCCCAGUGCCGGAAGGUUAAGGAAGUUGGUCAGGAGUAAUCUGAAGCUGACGACCGAAGCCCCGGUGAACGGCGGCCGUAACUAUAACGGUCCUAAGGUAGCGAAAUUCCUUGUCGGGUAAGUUCCGACCCGCACGAAAGGCGUAACGAUCUGGGCACUGUCUCGGAGAGAGACUCGGCGAAAUAGGAUUGUCUGUGAAGAUACGGACUACCUGCACCUGGACAGAAAGACCCUAUGAAGCUUUACUGUAGCCUGGAAUUGGCUUCGGGCUUCGCUUGCGCAGGAUAGGUGGGAAGCUUUGAAACUCUCCUCGUGGGGAGAGUGGAGCUAACGGUGAGAUACCACUCUGGCGAGGCUAGAAUUCUAACCCUGACCCCUCAUCGGGGCGGGAGACAGUUUCAGGUGGGCAGUUUGACUGGGGCGGUCGCCUCCUAAAAGGUAACGGAGGCGCGCAAAGGUUCCCUCGGUCCCGUUGGAAAUGGGACGAUAGAGUGCAAAAGCAGAAGGGAGCUUGACUGUGAGACCCACAAGUCGAACAGGGACGAAAGUCGGCUUUAGUGAUCCGACGGCACCGCGUGGAAGGGCCGUCGCUCAACGGAUAAAAGUUACUCUAGGGAUAACAGGCUGAUCUCCCCCAAGAGUUCACAUCGACGGGGAGGUUUGGCACCUCGAUGUCGGCUCAUCGCAACCUGGGGCUGAAGUCGGUCCCAAGGGUUGGGCUGUUCGCCCAUUAAAGCGGUACGUGAGCUGGGUUCAGAACGUCGUGAGACAGUUCGGUCCAUAUCCGGUGUAGGCGUAAGAGCAUUGCGAGGAGCCUUCCUUAGUACGAGAGGACCGGGAAGGACGCACCGCUGGUGUACCUGUUAUCGUGCCAACGGUAAACGCAGGGUAGCCAUGUGCGGAGCGGAUAACCGCUGAAAGCAUCUAAGUGGGAAGCCCACCUCCAGAUGAUUGCUCUCAUGGCAUUAAGCCAGUAAGGUCUCGGGUAGACUACCCGUUGAUAGGCUCUAGAUGGAAGCUCGGUAACGAGUGCAGUCGAGGAGUACUAACCGACCGAGGGCUUGACCUG